rnacentral:rRNA from 1 species
UGCAGUCGUACGAGAGUUUUUACUCAAGUGGCGGACGGGUGAGUAACACGUAAGAAUUUGCCUUUAGGAGGGGGACAACAACUGGAAACGGUUGCUAAUACCCCAUAUGCUUUCGAGUGAAACGGUUUUUCCGCCUAAAGAGAAGCUUGCGGCUGAUUAGCUUGUUGGUAAGGUAAUGGCUUACCAAGGCGACGAUCAGUAUCUGGUUUGAGAGGACGAUCAGACACACUGGAACUGAGACACGGUCCAGACUCCUACGGGAGGCAGCAGUGGGGAAUUUUCCGCAAUGGGCGAAAGCCUGACGGAGCAAUACCGCGUGAGGGAUGAAUGCCUAUGGGUUGUAAACCUCUUUUUUUCAGGGAGGAAUCAAUGACGUUACCUGAAGAAUAAGCAUCGGCUAACUCCGUGCCAGCAGCCGCGGUAAUACG